ensembl:rRNA 5S_rRNA 5S ribosomal RNA
UAUUAAGGCCAUACUACCCUGAACAAGCCCAACCACAUCUUAUCUUGGAACCUAAGCAGGGUCAGGCCUGGCUAGUACUUGGAUGGGAGACCGCCUCGGAACACCAGGUGUGGUAGGCU